rnacentral:rRNA from 1 species
AGCUCCAAUAGCGUAUAUUAAUGUUGUUGCAGUUAAAAGCUCGUAGUUGAAUUUCUGGUUAAAAUCUUAGCUGGCUUUGGUCGUUAAUGUUUUAAUCAUCCGUUAGAGAACUAUAACCGUCCUUAACUGGUCAUUAUAGAGAUCUAACAUUUUACUUUGAAAAAUUAGAGUGUUCAAGGCAGGCAAUCGUCAUGAAUACUAUAGCAUGGAAUAAUGGAAUAGGACUUUGGUUCAUUUUAUUGGUUAUUGAACCUUAGUAAUGAUUAACAGGGACAGUUGGGGGCAUUAGUAUUUAAUUGUCAGAGGUGAAAUUCUUGGAUUUAUUAAAGACUAACUUAUGCGAAAGCAUUUGCCAAGGAUGUUUUUCAUUAAUCAAGAACGAAGUU